AACUGCUGUAGCGAUAUUCUUUCUGCAGGUGGAAACAAGCCUAUGUAAGGCAAGGCAAAGGUGAAGUCAGACUGGAUACUAGGAAGUAUUUCAUGGAGCCAGCCACUGUCUAAGCUUCUUAUUCAGGAAGAAGCAGCUGAAUCAGCUGUUGCAGAUUCCCCGUUCCCCAGUCCGUCCCUCCAGCCUGGAAAGGACCCCUCCUGCUACCAGGGAAAGCAGGGAGUGAAAACCCAAAUACCAUGCCCUUGACUUUGUUAAGGAAAAAACAGAGCCAGCAGUAUCUGUCUAUAGUGACUGGAAUUAUGGCACUUUUCCCUGGAAAUUCACUGUGAAUUUUAAGUGCAAAGUUCUGAUGAUAUUUGUUAAGCUAUCAUUGAAACUAUAAGAGGGGUCUUUGUGUUUAUUUUUGAUACCUGAUAAAAUAGUCCUGCUUACUGAAGCUCAUGUCAUGCCUUAUCUUUGUGCUUUACAAUGACAUUACUUGUUUUCUAUUAAGGUUUCUAAAGCAAUUAGUUGAUCAUUUUUUAUUCUUGUUUCAUGAUGAAGUAAAAUUUAUUUUGAUCCACACAAAUUUUAAUUUAAGCUAAAUUACAAAUUUCCUUGCUAACACCGAUUUCUUUCAAUAUUCUCCUUUAAGUUUAAUUUUUAAAUUUAAUCUUAAAAAUGAAUAAGUUGCAGAAGAAUAGUAUUUAGAAAGUAUUGUAUAUGUGAAACUGAAAGCUCAGAAAGCUGCAAAGCCUCUCUGAAAUAAAUAGGUCUAGGCUUUAUCACCUUUCAUUGCAUGUUGUACAAAACACAGGGAAAAUGGCUUUGCUUUCUGCCUUGAGAAAAAAGUAUGUUAGCAUAUUGUAUAUUUUUUGCUCACUUUAUUAUUAUUGUUCUCCUUGCACGUAUCAUUACAUUAUCAUAUACUUCCAUUUAUUGUUUUAAAAGGUAUUUUUCAGUUUUCCUGUAUUCCAAUAUUUUUAAAAAAUCAGUUCAUGUACAUAUGACAUUAAUUUGCAACUUACUCUGAACUGAUCCAUUAAUAAGAAGACAUCUAUAAUAUGUCAAAAUUUGAUUAUUCAAAGGAUUAUUAUUUUUUAAAUCUGGUGAACUUGGCAGUGGAGAGACUUUCACCAUACUUAAAGACUUUCAAAAUGACAAUUUCCUAGUGUACAAAACUAACUUUAUAUAGAAAACAGAAUAAUUUCAAUGUGUGGGAUGAUAACCCCUUUGGAGAUAUGCCUCAGCAUUUCAACACUGAUAAAAUGAAAUAUUUCUCAUAGUUCUGAAAUUGCUUUUGUGGAUGAGGAUAAAAUAAUUGAAAACUUUUGUUACACAGUUUUAAGGCCAAAUACGAACACGCCUGUAGUGCACUUUACUGCAUUAUGCAAUACACGAGGCAAGCAAUUAACUUCAAGCAAAUAUUCAUUUUAGUUUCCUAUUAACUCGGUAGUCAGAGGGAUGUCCUCCAAAAUUAAUCUUAGGGGUACUGGUUGCAAAUGAUGAUACAUUGUCAAAGUUCAAACCAUUUGAUUGUAGUGUAAUUUUUCUUUCUUCAGAUAGUCCUAUUUCAGUUUCAUUGAUGCCCUGAAGAUAAUCAGGCCAACAGUGGAUUAUUCUCCUUACAAGUGUGCAUCGCAGAACAAUGAUCACAAAUUUUUUGUAAUUCUGCUAUAUUCAGGGAAAAUAUAUUGUUUACAGCAAAGAAUUAACUGGUUUAUUUUCAAACUAGAAAAAAUUUAUAUAUUGUUUUCAAUACAUGAAGUUUUUGCUUUA